rnacentral:rRNA from 1 species
GAGGAAUAAGCAUCGGCUAACUCCGUGCCAGCAGCCGCGGUAAUACGGGGGAUGCUAGCGUUAUCCGGAAUCAUUGGGCGUAAAGCGCCUGUAGGUUGUUUAAUAAGUCCGUUGUUAAAGACUAGGGCUCAACCCUAGAGCAGCAAUGGAAACUACUAGACUAGAGUAUGGCAGGGGUAGAGGGAAUUUCUAGUGUAGCGGUGAAAUGCGUAGAUAUUAGAAAGAACACCAGCGGCGAAAGCGCUCUACUGGACCAUUACUGACACUCAGAGGCGAAAGCUAGGGUAGCAAAAGGGAUUAGAUACCCCUGUAGUCCUAGCCGUAAACGAUGGAUACUAGAUGUUGCAUAUAAUGUGCAGUAUCCUAGCUAACGCGUUAAGUAUCCCGCCUGGGGAGUACGCUCGCAAGGGUGAAACUCAAAGGAAUUGACGGGGGCCCGCACAAGCGGUGGAGCAUGUGGUUUAAUUCGAUGCAACGCGAAGAACCUUACCAGGGCUUGACAUACUACAGAUUCCUUUGAAAAAAGGAAGUGCCUUCGGGAAUGUAGAUACAGGUGGUGCAUGGCUGUCGUCAGCUCGUGUCGUGAGAUGUUGGGUUAAGUCCCGCAACGAGCGCAACCCUUAUUUUUAGUUACCAACUCGUUGGGUUCUCUAGAAAGACUGCCGGUGACAAACCGGAGGAAGGUGAGGAUGACGUCAAGUCAGCAUGCCCCUUAUGUCCUGGGCUACACACGUGCUACAAUGGCUAAGACAAAGAGUCGCGAGCUUGCAAGAGUCAGCUAAUCUCAUAAACUUAGCCUAAGUUCAGAUUGUAGGCUGCAACUCGCCUGCAUGAAG